UUGGAUAGAUUUGGUGUUGGUUUAAAUGCUUUGUACAACUGAUACGUAGGGCUACCUGCUUUAGGAUUUCUUUAUUUAAAGGACGAGGUGCGGCCGUUGGAUAUAGACUCUAUAUUAUGGUGGGUCGAUACAUAUAGCUUAGGGGCAUAGGCUUCAUUUUUUCAGCGGUGCUGUUUGUCAAUUAUUUCUAAAGCAUACCAUUUCUUUACCAGUUUUCAAGGGUCGCAGUUGAAGAACGUGGCACCCCUAGCUCCGACUUUUGAGAGCUAGCUAGCUCUGACUAGGCAACAGAGACAAACCAAGACAAAAACAGUUGCUGCUAAUCUUGUUCACCGAGCCAGGUUUUGGUUCAUUUUCUUCUUCUUUGUUUAAUUGCCUACUCCAAUCAUGGACUGACAUGCAAAAUUUGGGUUCUCAGUUAUACUAUUUAUAUCCAUGCUAUACGUCAAAAUCGUGCCCCCUCGGGACUGAUCAGGUCUUCCCUGAAUCCAUGGCUGAUUUCAUUACAUAUAUAUUUUUACCUUUGCCAUUUGUUUUUUACUCAAAUCCCAAACGUUGCUUUGUGUAUACCUAAAUAUAUUUUUUUGGUUAAGAGAAAGCAACAGAACGUGUCAUUUCACCUCAUGGUUCAUUACUUUAUAGAAAUAAACAGCUAAAAAUGAGGAAAUUAGUCAUGA